rnacentral:rRNA from 1 species
GAUGAACGCUAGCGGCAGGCUUAACACAUGCAAGUCGAGGGGCAGCACGGGUAGCAAUACCUGGUGGCGACCGGCGCAAGGGUGCGUAACGCGUGAGCAACAUGCCCUAUACAGGGGGAUAAUCCAGGGAAACUUGGUCUAAUAUCCCAUAGUAUUUAGAGGAGGCAUCUUCUAUAAAUUAAAGCUUCGGUGGUAUAGGAUUGGCUCGCGUGACAUUAGCUAGAUGGUGAGGUAACGGCUCACCAUGGCAAUGAUGUCUAGGGGUUCUGAGAGGAAGGCCCCCCACACUGGGACUGAGACACGGCCCAGACUCCUACGGGAGGCAGCAGUGAGGAAUAUUGGACAAUGGAUGGAAAUCUGAUCCAGCCAUGCCGCGUGCAGGAAGACAGCCCUAUGGGUUGUAAACUGCUUUUAUAUGGGAGCAAUAAGGUUUACGAGUAGACCGAUGAGAGUACCAUAUGAAUAAGCAUCGG